GCCUCUUGCGGGUGUGUUGUUUCACUCCACACAGAAACUCAUUUGUAGCCAGAUGGCACUUCACUCUUCUUCCCUGGACAUGUGGUCACCAUCAUGCUGUGAUAGGCUUAAUUUUGAAUACGACUUUUCUGCUGGAUAAUAAGCUGGGGAAAAUCCGAUGCAACUUCGCUCGUAUCACGUGGAGCCAGAUGAAAUUUGGAAACUGGUGUGUAAAUCAGUGGAAACCACAAUGUUAGUAUUGCUGAGGCUGUCAGCUUUUGUUUAUAUACACUUUAUUGAUUGAUGGGAUUCACAAGAACAAUUUCUUGCCUGAACAAGAAGUAUUUUCGAUAUUUUUUCAUACAGUUUAAUAUUCCAUCCAUUUUUAGUUGUUUUUCUGAUCACCAAGCAGAACAUGUUUGUACAGCAAAUUCUAUAUUUGUGUUACUUCUAAUGCAGUUCAUGGUUAAAAGGAAGUAUAUUUCUUUGGUUAUCCUAGAUGUAAGUGGCUACUGAUCUGAAAGCCAUGAAAUUAUUAAAGUUUAAAGAACUAGGUAUACAAAGGCUGAAAUUCCUGAUAAUACUGUAAAUAUUUUAAGGUUUUUAUUAUUUUUUGAAUAAUGAAGGAUUCCCAAUUGCAGAUUAUGGCAGUCCUGAAUGGUCCAUUGCUAGAUUAAAUGGCCAUAUGAUAGAUAUCCAAAAUUACAUUUGAAUAUAGUAAGUAAGAUCUGAAAUGUGCUCUAAGGCUAACUUGGACUAUUGUAAGGCCUUCAAAUUUUUGAAUUCCCUGUUGUAAAUCGUACAAUCCUCAUUUAAGCAUAGUUUUGGAAAUCCAAAAGUCUUGUCACUAGAUGUCUACGCUAUUCUAAGACCUCCAGCCUCAGAAGUAGUCACUUGGCGCAUAUUGGUCAGCUAAGCUCAUCUACUAUUCACGUGGUAAUGUUGGAAUUUCGAAUCUUUUUUUCAGCGGGGAUAUUCUCACACUUUUUACUUCAUGAGACAUAAACUACAUUUUUUUUUUCCACCAGUCAAGAAGUGAUGUUUCAUAUAUUUGGUAUGAGCCAGUAUCAUAAUCAUUAUAUUGCAGGAUGAGACAUAAGCAAUGAUGGGUAUGCAGACAUUGGACCCCCACUGUAUGGUGGGGUGAAGUUCAGAUAGUAGAUUUAACGGACCAUAAUGCUCGCCGAAGUUCCCGACAGUCCAAAGGGUUUAAAAAUUGAAAACAAAUUGCUUUGGCGUGGCAGAGCAAGGGUCCUCGGAAGACGAUGCAGUGGAACCUUGGUUACGACAAUCAAGACUAUUGUUUUAUUGAUUAUUUUCAAGAAUAUGUGGCGUUCACGUGAAAGGAUAACAUGCACUAAAUAGUUUGUUGCAAGCUUUUUUUUUUUUUUAGGCGAUACCAUGUUGGAUACUAUUUAGUUGAACGGCAUAAUUGUUUGUGCAAUAAUCGACGGGAGAUGGCAUCUUGAAAGAGAUGGCUGUAUGUUGGAUGCGUUAUUACUGAGGGCCGUGAACAGUUUUCUCUAAGCUCGAUUUUACUGGUAAAUGGCAACAGACCAGAAUAGUAGGGCCAUUCUUAAAAACUAAGAAUCGCCCGUGUCUUGAAUCACAUGUUUUGGAACUGUGGAGUUAAUGUUAAGUGAUCUCCUGGAUGGAAGCAUGUUGCAGAUGGAAAAUGGAUUCGUGUUGCAAUGGGUUAUCAUAAACCCCACAUCCAAGAAGCCAUAAGGAUCGCAAUGCAGUCUUCAGCAAAUCUGUGUGAUAUUUUGGCCAAUAUGCUUAUUACAAGCAGAACAUUUGGCACAAUCAAGGAAGGAUGAGACAUGAAAAAAGGACAAUCAGAUUGCAGAAUGUACUUGCAUAACAUGCAACCUAAUGGAAUCCUGUUAUAUUAACUGCAUAUUCACACAGAAGCUUCUGACUGAUAAGAAGAGUGUUGGAUGUUAAGACACAUUCAACAUGCAGGCCAAAUCCCAUAUUAACCAUGCAUUCAUGCUCAUCAGAUAAUUUUGUCUUCUCUGGUUCGAUCAAAAUCUUCUUCCUAAGUGAUGAAAAUAUGAAACAUGUGGAAAUACUGAAACUAGGGUAAAAUAAACUAGUUCCAGUUUAUGUGUGGGAUACAAGAAAUGUGAAUCAUGUCUUAAGUUGAAAUAGGUAGUUGCAGAUUGAGCAAAUAUCCUUCAGUGUUUCCUAGUAUGAGUUGGUAGCAGGAGAUAUUGCAUCAUAGAAGACCAACAAUGUAAACUAGUGCACAGAAGAUGUGCAGUAAUGAAUAGCAAACAAGUGACACUAAUGUUAUGACAGAACAACAAAAUUGAUAACAGCCACAAGUUAACUAUCAGCUAGAAGUUUGAAGCGGCUUAACUAUUAGGCCAAAAUGGCGCCUCCCAACAACGCUCUACCAGAUGCUAGUGGAACCUAUUCUUUAGAAAAAUCCCGUCACAUUUUGGCUGCAGGUUUGUAUUUAUCUUGCUACGUAGAUUAACGAAUUAAUCACGUUAGGCGCGAAAUUUCCAUUCAGAUAAAUUAAGGUGUUAGAUUUGAGACAUUUGCUUGAAAUGUAGAGCUAUUCAGCGGUAUAUGUGUCGUAGUAACUGACAUCGUACUUUCAGAAGCCACGUAUUGUUUAUUUACUGUAGUUAUUUACUUCUGCUACUAUGAAAAUCUUGUUAACAAUGCAAAGGAGAACAUAGCUCAUUUUUGACAUUUCCGAAAUUGUGACUUCCGGUUUUACUUCCUGUUUUAAAAUAGCGUAUAGUUGCUUGUGUUUAAGUCUGUUCAUAAAAAGAUUCACAUUUUCGUGAUCCUCGUCAAAUUUGGGGUCGAAUCUAAAGGGUCAGCUCAAAAUACCCGAAAAUCGUCAAAAAUCGCAAAAGUCCCUGAACGAUUUUUGUUCAUGUUGUUUUGUUCAUGAAAAUUCGCGAUUUUGGCCAUAUCCAGCUUUUGGCUGAAAACACAUCAGUCUUAUCCCAAAUUUUAUAAGGAUUAUGAAAAUUCUAUUCGUUUUGUCAUAGGGUCAAUAUUUUCGGAGAUAUUGGCUACUUCCGGUGACUUCCGGGAAAAUUUUACGUGAUUUUGCAGAAAGUAACAAAUGAACUAUAUUCUUCCCAUCGUUUUUAGUAAUUUCAUCUUAACUGAUGAGAUUUGGUGGCCCUUUUCCCUUGUUUUUCUGCUAUCUACGAUAUUGGUUGAUCUUACGACAUGUAUGCGGUUGAACGGAUGUGACAUGUUUAGCGCCUUUUUCUGCAGUGCAACUACUCACUAAAUUUUUUUAUUAUCGCGCUAUCAAAAUAUAGUUAGAUGUCUGAAAUAGUAACGAUCGAACACGUAAAGCGCUAAGUUUCGCACUUCUUUUUGAAGUUAUACCUCUUAUUCAUUGGCUAUCAAAUACGAAAACUAGAUGGCGUUGUUGUUCCCCCAAAUAAUGGCUGAUUGCUUGUAACUAGUGAAAUCGAUGUCUGUUAAUUUUCUUAACUGUGUGUGGUGUGCUUCAAAGAAAUAUUCAUCUAAAAAUUAACGGCUUGUUGUACUUAACGCUGGAGCUUGAAUCCUUGAUACUGAAGCUUGAAUGCCAACAGUUUUCAUCUAAUUAGUGUUAUCGGACAUUGAUGAUCAAUGUUUCAUGAAAACAAUGUUCUCUAUUUCGCAUGCAAGAAAAAUUUGCUUUAGCACCACUGCAUUACAGUGAACCAUGAGCGGGAGUGUGACUAGUUCAAUCAACUUCGUCUUCCAACUUUGACCGUCACCUUCAUCUUUGUGACCAAACCGACCAGCAUUCACCUACCUGAACGUCAUCGCUUCAUUAUGAGAUUGUCAACGGUAAACAAAUAAUUCCUGAUCUUCCCCUUUUCUUCCAACUCAUCAUCUUCAUCUCAUCGUCUUCAAGCUGGUCGUCUUUGCCUCACAGCUUUUAACCUGGUCGUCUUCGCUUCGCUGCCUUUAACCUGGUCGUCUUCGCCUUGCCGUUUUCGCCUGACCUUCUCCAUCUCAUCGAUUUGUCGCAUCUUCUUGGAUCUCGCCUGUCUUCGCCUCAUCGCCGUCUUCGUGGAGCCUCGUGUUUUUGGUAUUGUUUUGUAUUGUAUUGUUGUAUAGUGUAUGUUGUAAGUUAACCCGUUGGCUGCCACCCAUUUUGCUCCCCUUUUUUUUUUAGUUGUAGGGACCGGCGGCGCUGUUCUACCCCAUGGCUGAUCAACCAUGGGGUGGGGCAGUCGCCUUGCGCCUUAGGGCGCCGUAGGCAAUGCACCAGUAGGGACUUCCCCUUGUCGAUGCGAUGGUGGAGUACCUGGGGUGUGCAUUCCCGUAAAGGUCUCCAUUGUCAAGUCAGCCCGGACUUGUUUUCGGACAAGUCCCCCUUUCAUCGAAUCCCUCAGAAACGAUGCGUAGCGACUGUAGUAGAACAACCUAAUGGUUGUAAUGGCUUGGCAGCCGACGGGUUAACUUAGUGUUUGUGUAUAUGUGUAUGUAUGUAUGUAUUGUAUAACUUGUAAUGUAUUGUAGAACAUGUAAUGUAAAAUAGUGGUGGAAUUGUGGGUGGAGGUGGGAUAAUACAAAAUCAAUUCCUUUUA
rnacentral:lncRNA from 1 species